UGUCGACUAUAAAUACGACACUCAUUUGGCCAAAUAAAUCAACAAAAGAGUACGCUAAGCAUUUCCAUAUAACGAACCAAAAUGUCUAGGAAAAGUGAAUGGCUUGAGCUUGUGUUCGUAGAAUAUUAUGAAGUUGCAGAUAUAAUACAAAAGGAGAAUCCUAACGUCAAACCACAAAAGAUUCUUGCUGGGAGUCC